rnacentral:rRNA from 1 species
UUUGGUGGUGAUGGCGGAGGGGUUCCACGCGUACCCAUCCCGAACACGACCGUUAAGCCCUCCAGCGCCGAUGGUACUUGGACCGAAGGGUCCUGGGAGAGUAGGACGCCGCCAAGC